CCUACGGGAGGCUGCAGUGGGGAAUAUUGGACAAUGGGCGAAAGCCUGAUCCAGCCAUGCCGCGUGUGUGAAGAAGGCCUUCGGGUUGUAAAGCACUUUCAGUGGGGAAGAAAGCCUUGGGGCUAAUACCCUCGAGGAAGGACAUCACCCACAGAAGAAGCACCGGCUAACUCCGUGCCAGCAGCCGCGGUAAUACGGAGGGUGCGAGCGUUAAUCGGAAUUACUGGGCGUAAAGCGCGCGUAGGCGGUCUGAUAAGCCGGUUGUGAAAGCCCCGGGCUCAACCUGGGAACGGCAUCCGGAACUGUCAGGCUAGAGUGCAGGAGAGGAAGGUAGAAUUCCCGGUGUAGCGGUGAAAUGCGUAGAGAUCGGGAGGAAUACCACUGGCGAAGGCGGCCUUCUGGACUGACACUGACGCUGAGGUGCGAAAGCGUGGGUAGCAAACAGGAUUAGAUACCCGGGUAGU
rnacentral:rRNA from 1 species